rnacentral:misc_RNA from 1 species
GAUUCAGAUCGCCUGGAUCUGACAGCUUAGCAGAGAAACGGCACCGUUCGGGAGAGGGAAGGAUCUGCGAAAACGACUUGCCGGCGACGGAGAGGGAGAAAAGGAGCUUUGAGUUAGAAGUUUUGGAGACGAAGACCAGGAAGUAAGCGGUUGAGAGUUGAGCGAAGCGCGUUUUUGAAGUGGUUUAGAAAUGAAUAGACAAAGCUUGACCAGGGAAAAGUUUCGAUAAACGGGACAAGCACAAGGCCGGCUAAAGCCUUAUUUAAGAAACACCCGCGAGUCGGGAGGAGGAGAAUUUUGC